UUCUCCCCGUGAGCUGGGCGUGCAUUUUCGGCGCGUUCAUUCUUCUGGCACAACUACGCAAACAGAUGUUCACGCACGCCCGUCUACCUCGAGAGGAGUGCCGGUUAGUGGGGGGACAAGCCAGCCGACACCGUCCACCUCCUCGGGUCAGGCUGCAAGGGCGGGAAACUCUCGUGCUAGUGGAGCUCCCUCGUCUUCCCGCGUCGCAGCAUCGCAUGGUUGUACCUGCCGGAUGUGU